GGUCAAUGAUGAACAGUAAAAGGUCUGAUUGCCCAGCAAUGUUGCCUCCUUUAUCUUCAUAACUCCCAGCAAUUUCUCCUCAAUCAUGCUCUAGAAGUGCUAUUAUUGGGUCACCAUUUGCUGAUAAAUAGUGAUAUAUUCAGCUUGUGUUACCCUACAGUGUUGGGUAGACACUGCUGAAAUUGCUAUCCAACAUAAAUAGAUACAGGAGUUUGAGGUAUUGGUUCUGUGCUUGGGUAUCUGAUCUCAAAUGUUUAGCUGAGACC